rnacentral:lncRNA from 1 species
UGGAGGACAGCACUGUGGUCAUUGUUACAGGCCUUUUCUGGAUCCUUCCAAAAGAUGCUGCCAAGGCAAAGAACUCGUUCACACGUAGCAGAUGAGGGCAGACUGGCAUGGGAAGUCAGACAAGGCACAGAAGAUGGAUCUCAGGUGACAUUCAAACAUGGGUCUGGCUCUACAGCCACGGCUACAGAUGGCUGAUGACCAGAUCUACCUCACCUUGAUUGUCAUGGUAUCAGCGGCUAAUCAUUUAGCAUUAGAACAGUGAACAUUUA